rnacentral:rRNA from 1 species
GAUGAACGCUGGCGGCGUGCCUAAUACAUGCAAGUCGAACGAAACUUCUUUAUCACCGAGUGCUUGCACUCACCGAUAAAGAGUUGGGUGGCGAACGGGUGAGUAACACGUGGGCAACCUGCCCAAAAGAGGGGGAUAACACUUGGAAACAGGUGCUAAUACCGCAUAACCAUAGUUACCGCAUGGUAACUAUGUAAAAGGUGGCUAUACUACCGCUUUUGGAUGGGCCCGCGGCGCAUUAGCUAGUUGGUAGGGUAAAGGCUUACCAAGGCAAUGAUGCGUAGCCGAAUUGAGAGGUUGAUCGGCCACAUUGGGACUGAGACACGGCCCAAACUCCUACGGGAGGCAGCAGUAGGGAAUCUUCCACAAUGGGCGAAAGCCUGAUGGAGCAACGCCGCGUGGGUGAAGAAGGUCUUCGGAUCGUAAAACCCUGUUGUUAGAGAAGAAAGUGCGUGAGAGUAACUGUUCACGUUUCGACGGUAUCUAACCAGAAAGCCACUGCUAACUACGUG